UAUAGCUCAGUGGUUGAGCACUUGCCUAACAUGUGUGAGGCCCUGGGUUCCAAUCCCUGUA
rnacentral:tRNA from 1 species